rnacentral:rRNA from 1 species
GAUGAACGCUGGCGGCGUGCCUAAUACAUGCAAGUCGAGCGAACAGACGAGGAGCUUGCUCCUCUGACGUUAGCGGCGGACGGGUGAGUAACACGUGGAUAACCUACCUAUAAGACUGGGAUAACUUCGGGAAACCGGAGCUAAUACCGGAUAAUAUAUUGAACCGCAUGGUUCAAUAGUGAAAGACGGUUUUGCUGUCACUUAUAGAUGGAUCCGCGCCGCAUUAGCUAGUUGGUAAGGUAACGGCUUACCAAGGCGACGAUGCGUAGCCGACCUGAGAGGGUGAUCGGCCACACUGGACCUGAGACACGGUCCAGACUCCUACGGGAGGCAGCAGUAGGGAAUCUUCCGCAAUGGGCGAAAGCCUGACGGAGCAACGCCGCGUGAGUGAUGAAGGUCUUCGGAUCGUAAAACUCUGUUAUUAGGGAAGAACAAAUGUGUAAGUAACUAUGCACGUCUUGACGGUACCUAAUCAGAAAGCCACGGCUAACUACGUGC